AUAGUAAAAUGUAGAUAAUCAUCCAAAUUUGAAGCGAGACCAAGUCAUCCAAAUUUGAAGCGAGACCAAGUCAUCCAAAUUUGAAGCGAGACCAAGGCAGAAGCAAACUGCAACACUUAAUGAGGUGGCAGAGAAUAGACUGCAAAUACGAAGAGCUUUUUGUAAGCGACAAUCCCCCUCUUCCCCAGUAUUCCAUUUAAAGCAAUUCCACUGAUCAUCAAA